AGUUCUUAUUGACCUUGAAAUCGCUAGCAGAACUCUCUUACCAUGCAAAUCUGUCAUUCUGAAUCCUUGGCUGGAAUGCUAUGGUGAAUUGCUACAUUUUCUGCGGAGUUCGAGGAAUUGAAGUUGGCCGGUUUUUUGCCCUAAUGUUCAAUAUGAAGUUCUCGAUUCCUUCCACGAUGAAAGUGAGUUGCGGUCAUGGAGAUUGAGCAGCGGUGGCAACUUCAUCACAAAAUCUCUCACACACUUGGACAUAAACAACAAAUGGAUUGGAAGGCCAUCAAUCACACUACCAAAGGAAGUAAAGUUCUACAUUUGGAUGACACCACCAAAGAUGCAUACUUGUUGGACAUCGUGCAUAGAAAGAAUCUAAGGCAAUUGCAGCAAGAAUGUUUUGUUUUGUUGCAUGUAGGAUGUAAGCUCAAUGAUGUUGGUCGAUUUAUCCAAUCAUGUAUGUACGGAGAUAAGUGGCCCUACUAUAGGCUAGGUAUUUCUAUAAAUAUAUAUAAGGCCACUUACUGAGUA